UACAGAGGUCCCAAGCGUUGUUCGGAUUCACUGGGCGUAAAGGGUGCGUAGGUGGUUGGGUAAGUCUGAUGUGAAAUCUCUGAGCUUAACUCAGAAACUGCAUUGGAUACUAUCCGGCUGGAGGAGUGGAGGGGGGACUGGAAUACUUGGUGUAGCAGUGAAAUGCGUAGAUAUCAAGUGGAACACCAGUGGCGAAGGCGAGUCCCUGGACACUUCCUGACACUGAGGCACGAAAGCUAGGGGAGCAAACAGG
rnacentral:rRNA from 1 species